rnacentral:rRNA from 1 species
GAUGAACGCUGGCGGCGUGCCUAAUACAUGCAAGUCGAGCGAACGGACGAGAAGCUUGCUUCUCUGAUGUUAGCGGCGGACGGGUGAGUAACACGUGGAUAACCUACCUAUAAGACUGGGAUAACUUCGGGAAACCGGAGCUAAUACCGGAUAAUAUUUUGAACCGCAUGGUUCAAAAGUGAAAGACGGUCUUGCUGUCACUUAUAGAUGGAUCCGCGCUGCAUUAGCUAGUUGGUAAGGUAACGGCUUACCAAGGCAACGAUGCAUAGCCGACCUGAGAGGCUGAUCGGCCACCCUGGAACUGAGACACGGUCCAGACUCCUACGGGAGGCAGCAGUAGCGAAUCUUCCGCAAUGGGCGAAAGCCUGACGGAGCAACGCCGCGUGAGUGAUGAAGGUCUUCGGAUCGUAAAACUCUGUUAUUAGGGAAGAACCUAUGUGUAAGUAACUGUGCACAUCUUGACGGUACCUAAUCAGAAAGCCACGGCUAACUACGUG